AGCUUUGCGCAGUGGCAGUAUCAUAGCCAAUGAGGUUUAUCCGAGCAAUUAUUGCUAAUUAAUAAAUUAAAUAAUAAAAUGGGGACACUUUUAGUGCUUAUAAAGGUUUACUAACC
rnacentral:snRNA from 1 species